AUUGAACGCUGGCGGCAGGCCUAACACAUGCAAGUCGAACGGUAACAGGGAUCAGCUUGCUGAUUCGCUGACGAGUGGCGGACGGGUGAGUAAUGUCUGGGAAACUGCCUGAUGGAGGGGGAUAACUACUGGAAACGGUAGCUAAUACCGCAUAACGUCGCAAGACCAAAGAGGGGGACCUUCGGGCCUCUUGCCAUCGGCUGUGCCCAGAUGGGAUUAGCUAGUAGGUGGGGUAACGGCUCACCUAGGCGACGAUCCCUAGCUGGUCUGAGAGGAUGACCUGCCACACUGGAACAGAGACACGGUACAGACUCCUACGGGAGGCAGCAGUGGGGACUAUUGCACAAUGGGCGCAAGCCUGAUGCAGCCAUGCCGCGUGUAUGAAGAAGGCCUUCGGGUUGUGAAGUACUUUCAGCGGGGAGGAAGGGAGUAAAGUUAAUACCUUUGCUAAUUGACGUUACCCGCAGAAGAAGCACCGGCUAACUCCGUG
rnacentral:rRNA from 1 species